CCUACGGGUGGCUGCAGUAGGGAAUAUUGCGCAAUGGGGGAAACCCUGACGCAGCAACGCCGCGUGAGUGAUGAAGGCUUUCGGGUCGUAAAGCUCUGUUGCAAGGGAAAAAGAAAGUGAUUGUACCUUGCGAGGAAGGACCGGCAAACUUCGUGCCAGCAGCCGCGGUAAUACGAGGGGUCCUAGCGUUGUUCGGAAUCAUUGGGCGUAAAGCGCUCGUAGGUGGCUUAGUAAGUCAGGUGUGAAAGCCCCGGGCUCAACCCGGGAAGUGCACU
rnacentral:rRNA from 1 species